rnacentral:rRNA from 1 species
GGGCUAAGACUGCUUAUUGCACCACAUGUGUUUUUCUUUGAAACAAACUUGCUUUGGCGGUGGGCCCAGCCUGCCGCCAGAGGUCUAAACUUACAACCAAUUUUUUAUCAACUUGUCACACCAGAUUAUUACUUAAUAGUCAAAACUUUCAACAACGGAUCUCUUGGUUCUCGCAUCGAUGAAGAACGCAGCGAAAUGCGAUACGUAAUAUGAAUUGCAGAUAUUCGUGAAUCAUCGAAUCUUUGAACGCACAUUGCGCCCUCUGGUAUUCCGGAGGGCAUGCCUGUUUGAGCGUCGUUUCUCCCUCAAACCGCUGGGUUUGGUGUUGAGCAAUACGACUUGGGUUUGCUUGAAAGACGGUAGUGGUAAGGCGGGAUCGCUUUGACAAUGGCUUAGGUCUAACCAAAAACAUUGCUUGCGGCGGUAACGUCCACCACGUAUAUCUUCAAACUUUGACCUCAAAUCAGGUAGGACUACCCGCUGAACUUAAGCAUAUCAAAAGCCGGAGGAA